rnacentral:rRNA from 1 species
AGAGUUUGAUCCUGGCUCAGAACGAACGCUGGCGGCGCGCCUAAUACAUGCAAGUCGAGCGAGAGGACGUAGCAAUACGUUUGUAAAGCGGCGAACGGGUGAGGAAUACAUGGGUAACCUACCCUCGAGUGGGGAAUAACUAGCCGAAAGGUUAGCUAAUACCGCAUACGACUCUUGGUCUGCGGAUCAAGAGAGAAAGCGAUACCGUGGGUAUCGCGCUCCUGGAUGGGCUCAUGUCCUAUCAGCUUGUUGGUGAGGUAACGGCUCACCAAGGCUUCGACGGGUAGCUGGUCUGAGAGGACGAUCAGCCACACUGGCACUGCGACACGGGCCAGACUCCUACGGGAGGCAGCAGUAAGGAAUAUUGCGCAAUGGGCGACAGCCUGACGCAGCGACGCCGCGUGGGGGAUGAAGGUCUUCGGAUUGUAAACCCCUUUCGGCAGGGAAGAUGGAACGGGUAACCGUUCGGACGGUACCUGCAGAAGCAGCCACGGCUAACUUCGUGCCAGCAGCCGCGGUAAUACGAAGGUGGCAAGCGUUGUUCGGAUUCACUGGGCGUACAGGGAGCGUAGGCGGUUGGGUAAGCCCUUCGUGAAAUCUCCGGGCCUAACCCGGAAAGUGCGGAGGGGACUGCUCGGCUAGAGGAUGGGAGAGGAGCGCGGAAUUCCCGGUGUAGCGGUGAAAUGCGUAGAGAUCGGGAGGAAGGCC